CUGGUAAGUAUGUACCAGCUAGAGACUUCCGAUAUGGUGCCUUUUUGGACUCAUUAUGGCCACUUUCUGAAAGAAAGGAGAGGAAUUACAUUACCUUACACCUUUCCCCAUAGAGAUACCUGGAAGCAGAGCCACUACUUUAGA